GACGGUGGCGAUGUCUACGCUUAUGGAUUUAAAGCGAAUUCGAGCUCAGUGAGGUUAACCUUCCAUAACCCUGGUGUACAAGAAGAUCCCAAAUGUGGUCCUCUCAUUGACGCCGUCGCCAUUAAAGAGCUCCUCCCUCCCAGACCUACUCGCCGUAAGUAAACUUCUAAAUCUGAAGAAAACUAUCCAGAUCUGUACUUAGAUCUAACAGCUCGUUGAUUGUUUUCUUUGCAGUUAAUAUCGUGAAAAAUGGCGGAUUUGAGGAAGGACCUCACCGGUUAUUCAACUCCUCCAAUGGCGUCCUCCUCCCUCCUCGACAAGAAGACAUAACAUCUCCUCUCCCCGGAUGGAUCAUCGAGUCUCUAAAAGCCGUUAAGUUCAUCGACAACAAACACUUCAACGUCCCCUCCGGCGUCGCCGCCAUCGAACUAGUCGCCGGAAGAGAAAGCGCCAUCGCACAAAUCCUCCGAACAAUCCCAAACAAACUCUACAGCCUAUCAUUUGCCAUUGGAGACGCGAAGAACGGGUGCCAUGGAGACAUGAUGGUUGAAGCAUUUGCUGCAAAAGACACCCUGAAAGCUCCAUUCAAAUCGGAAGGAAAGGGGAAGUCGAAGGUGG
rnacentral:lncRNA from 1 species